UACGGGGGGGGGCAAGCGUUGUUCGGAAUUACUGGGCGUAAAGGGCUCGUAGGCGGCCAACUAAGUCGGAUGUGAAAUCCCCAGGCUUAACCUGGGAACUGCAUCCGAUACUGGAUGGCUUGAAUCCGGGAGAGGGAUGCAGAAUUCCAGGUGUAGCGGUGAAAUGCGUAGAUAUCUGGAGGAAUACCGGUGGCGAAGGCGGCAUCCUGGACCGGCAUUGACGCUGAUGAGCGAAAGCUAGGGGAGCAAACGGGG
rnacentral:rRNA from 1 species